AUUGAACGCUGGCGGCAUGCCUUACACAUGCAAGUCGAACGGCAGCACGGGAGCAAUCCUGGUGGCGAGUGGCGAACGGGUGAGUAAUAUAUCGGAACGUGCCCAGUAGUGGGGGAUAACUGCUCGAAAGAGCAGCUAAUACCGCAUACGACCUGAGGGUGAAAGGGGGGGAUCGCAAGACCUCUCGCUAUUGGAGCGGCCGAUAUCAAAUUAGCUAGUUGGUGGGGUAAAGGCCUACCAAGGCAACGAUCUGUAGUUGGUCUGAGAGGACGACCAGCCCACCUGGGACUGAGACACGGCCCAGACUCCUACGGGAGGCAGCAGUGGGGAAUUUUGGACAAUGGGCGCAAGCCUGAUCCAGCAAUGCCGCGUGCAGGAAGAAGGCCUUCGGGUUGUAAACUGCUCUUGUCAGGGAAGAAAUCCUCUAGGUUAAUACCCUUGGGGGGAUGACGGUACCUGAAGAAUAAGCACCGGCUAACUACGUGCCAGCAGCCGCCGUAACAC
rnacentral:rRNA from 1 species